ACUCCCAACUUGGAGGCCAGAAUUUCUGCACCCUCAGAAGAAACUUCCUAGAAAACAAUAAGCCUUUUAUCUUCAAGAACAGCAGUCAAAAUCACAUCCAAGAUUUUGCAGAAAUCAAAUUAAACAGAAUCCUGUUAGAGGAAGUGUUGGAAAAAUCAACAGGGGCAACCUGCCCCACCCUCCCUCCUCCCCGCUUCCGCACGGCCGCCGGACACUCACUACUCCUUGAGCAGCACCAUGUCGCUUCGCGGCUCGGU
rnacentral:lncRNA from 1 species